GAUGAACGCUAGCGAUAGGCUUAACACAUGCAAGUCGAGGGGCAGCAUGGUCUUAGCUUGCUAAGACUGAUGGCGACCGGCGCACGGGUGCGUAACGCGUAUGCAACUUGCCUCACAGAGGGGGAUAACCCGUCGAAAGACGGACUAAUACCGCGUACACUUGGGAUAGGGCAUCCUGACCCAAGGAAAUGAAAUUCGCUGUGAGAUAGGCAUGCGUCCCAUUAGCUAGUUGGUGAGGUAACGGCUCACCAAGGCGACGAUGGGUAGGGGAACUGAGAGGUUGAACCCCCACACUGGUACUGAGACACGGACCAGACUCCUACGGGAGGCAGCAGUGAGGAAUAUUGGUCAAUGGGCGAGAGCCUGAACCAGCCAAGUCGCGUGAAGGAUGACUGUCUUAUGGAUUGUAAACUUCUUUUAUACGGGAAUAACAAGAGUCAUGUGUGGCUCCCUGCAUGUACCGUAUGAAUAAGCAUCGGCUAACUCCGUG
rnacentral:rRNA from 1 species